rnacentral:rRNA from 1 species
UACGUAGGCAGCAAGCGUUGUUCGGAGUUACUGGGCGUAAAGGGUGUGUAGGCGGUUGUUUAAGUUUGGUGUGAAAUCUCCCGGCUCAACUGGGAGGGUGCGCCGAAUACUGAAUGACUAGAGUGCGGGAGAGGUGAGUGGAAUUCCUGGUGUAGCGGUGAAAUGCGUAGAUAUCAGGAGGAACACCGGUGGUGUAGACGGCUCACUGGACCGUAACUGACGCUGAAACACGAAAACGUGGGUAGCAAACAGG